UACGUAGGUGGUAAGCGUUGUCCGGAUUUACUGGGCGUAAAGAGCGCGCAGGCGGUCGUUCAAGUCGCGUGUGAAAGCCCCCGGCUCAACUGGGGAGGGUCACGCGAUACUGAUCGACUCGAAGGCAGGAGAGGGAAGUGGAAUUCCCGGUGUAGUGGUGAAAUGCGUAGAUAUCGGGAGGAACACCAGUGGCGAAGGCGACUUCCUGGCCUGUUCUUGACGCUGAGGCGCGAAAGCUAGGGGAGCAAACGGG
rnacentral:rRNA from 1 species